CUCUCCUCCGUCCUCGCAGUCUCCAGACAGACGCCAUCCGUCUUCCCUUUGGCCGCCUGCUGCAAAGACACUGUCACCGCCUCCGUGACAGUGGGCUGCCUGGUCACGGGCUACUUCCCAGAGCUGCUGACCGUGACCUGGGACACAGGGUCCCUGAACCAGAGAACCGUGACCUUCCCUGCCAUCCUCGACCCAGCCUCUGGCCUCUACACCACCACCAGCCAGGUGACCGCCUCAGGCGAGUGGGCCAAGCAGAAGUUCACCUGCAGCGUGGCACACUUGGAGACCCUCAUCAAAAACAGCGUCACCGGGUGCACCGUGGCCUACACCUCACCCACCGUGAAGCUGUUCCACUCCUCCUGCGACCCCCGCGGCGACUCCCACACCAGGAUCCAGCUCCUGUGCCUCAUCUCCAACUACACCCCUGGUCACAUCAACGUCACUUGGCUGGUGGACGGGCAGGAGAACAAGGACCUGUUCACGCACACUGCCCCCGCCAAGCAGGAGGGCGAGCUGGCCUCCACACGCAGCGAGCUCAACAUCACCCAGCGCCAGUGGGAGUCCCAAAAGACAUACACUUGCCAGGUCACCUACCGAGGCAUGACCUUUAUGGACCAGGCCCGCAUGUGCACAGAGUCUGAUCCCCGCGGCGUGAGCGUCUACCUGAUCCCCCCUAGCCCACUCGACCUGUACGUCCACAAGUCACCCAAGGUCACCUGCCUGGUGGUAGACCUAGCCAACAAGGAGAAGUUACACAUCACCUGGUCCCGGGAGAGCGGGAACCCCGUGCAGAAGGACACAAUGGUCGCCAGUGAACAGUUUAACAAGACAUUCUCCGCCACAUCCACCCUGCCUGUGGACACCACCGACUGGAUCGAGGGCGAGACCUACAGGUGCACGGUGACCCACCCAGACCUGCCCAAGCCCAUCGUGCACUCCAUCCUCAAGGCCUCUGGCAAGCGUGCUCCCCCCGAGGUCUACGUGUUCCCGCCACCCAAGAAGGAGGAGGAGACCAAGAACAAGGUCACCCUCACCUGCCUGAUCCAGAACUUCUUCCCCUCGGACAUCUCCGUACAGUGGCUGCGUAAUGAUGUCCUAAUUCAGACAGACCAGCAAGCCACCACCCGGCCCCAGAAGGCCAACGGCCCCAGCCCAGCCUUCUUCGUCUUCAGCCGCCUGGAGGUCAGCUGGGCAGACUGGGAGCUGAAGAACGAAUUCACCUGCCGAGUGGUCCACGAGGCGCUGCCUGGCUCUAGGACCCUCGACGUACAAGUGUCCAAAGACCGUGAGCUGGACCUGCAGGACCUGUGCGUGGAGGGGGCUGAGAGCGAAGAGAUGGAAGGGCUGUGGACCAGUCUCUUCAUUUUCAUCGCGCUCUUUCUGCUCAGCGUCAGCUACAGUGCCACCGUCACCCUCUUCAAGGUGAAGUGGGUCUUCGCCGCCAUCCUGCAGGAGAAGCCCCAGACCGUUCACGACUACACGAACGUCAUGCAGCCAGCAGCCUAG